rnacentral:lncRNA from 1 species
GACUGCCUCUGCCUCUGCCUCUGCCUCUGCCUCUGCCUCUGCCUCUGCCUCUGCCUCUGCCUCUGCCUCUGCUUCCGCUGAAGGCCAGCCAGUGAAGCACCCACUCCUGCUUCCUCUGGGCUCCACCCUGUCUGGGCUCCAGAGCUCUCCCUGGGGAGUACACUCUGAGCCACAUCACCCUCUCAAGUUCUAUUCCUGCCUUGUUUUCUCCUCCCUGUGUCUUGCAUCUGAGCUGCUUUGGGGGUGAAGAAACCUUUUCGUGGAAACAGGCUGUGAGGCCCUCUGUUCCACCUGGGCUUUUCCAUGGCUGCCAAGAGGGGCCCAGCUCCUGCUCCUUCUCUUUCCCCAGCCUGAUGCUCAAGCCCUGCCAGGUCCUUGCUGCCGGGAGUACCGGGCUGGCACAUUCCAGAGAGAACACCAUUGGGUGAUGACACCUUUUAACCUGUCUUAGGGAGGAGGGUUUGGGAGACUGGACUCUGCAGGAGAACAGAAUGUCACUACAGUCAGUGACAGCGUGGAAGCCAGGAGCACCUGGUGGGGGCAUGGUCCACAUAACUGAGCUUGGACCCAAACCCUCGUUUCAGCAGCAUCAAAUGGACCCAGUCAACUCCCCCAGGCAUCGAAUGUCUGCAGGAGGAGACACAGGUGCUGAGGAUGCUGGACUCUUUUCUCUGUUCCUGAAACCUCUCCAAGGCAGUUUCCUCUUCCCUCUGCAGCAGCUGCAGCACAUUUGCAUAAAGCGCUUCUAUUGCUGAAGCUUCGGCAGACCUGAAAAUACAGAAUAAUUCCAGUAGCAUUUUUCUGGAGGGAGACUGUGGACUGAAACAGAGCACCCUGUUGCCCAGGCUCUGCAUCUUCAUUAACCGACAUGCCAGAAUACACUGCUGAAGCCACAGGAUCUAAUGACAGGAAGACAAUUGUCCUCCCCAUACAUAUACUUCUCUAACCCUGGGUGGCUUUCUAGUGUCCUUGAUCCAUCUUCCCAUCUCCUAAGUGUCAGCCCCUCAUUUUAAA